rnacentral:rRNA from 1 species
CAGGCCUAACACAUGCAAGUCGAACGGCAGCACGGACUUCGGUCUGGUGGCGAGUGGCGAACGGGUGAGUAAUGUAUCGGAACGUGCCCAGUAGCGGGGGAUAACUACGCGAAAGCGUAGCUAAUACCGCAUACGCCCUACGGGGGAAAGCAGGGGAUCGCAAGACCUUGCACUAUUGGAGCGGCCGAUAUCGGAUUAGCUAGUUGGUGGGGUAACGGCUCACCAAGGCGACGAUCCGUAGCUGGUUUGAGAGGACGACCAGCCACACUGGGACUGAGACACGGCCCAGACUCCUACGGGAGGCAGCAGUGGGGAAUUUUGGACAAUGGGGGAAACCCUGAUCCAGCCAUCCCGCGUGUGCGAUGAAGGCCUUCGGGUUGUAAAGCACUUUUGGCAGGAAAGAAACGUCAUGGGUUAAUACCCCGUGAAACUGACGGUACCUGCAGAAUAAGCACCGGCUAACUACGUGCCAGCAGCCGCGGUAAUACGUAGGGUGCAAGCGUUAAUCGGAAUUACUGGGCGUAAAGCGUGCGCAGGCGGUUCGGAAAGAAAGAUGUGAAAUCCCAGAGCUUAACUUUGGAACUGCAUUUUUAACUACCGGGCUAGAGUGUGUCAGAGGGAGGUGGAAUUCCGCGUGUAGCAGUGAAAU